GACGAACGCUGGCGGCGUGGAUUAGGCAUGCAAGUCGAACGGUAUCAUCCUUUCGGGGGUGAGAGAGUGGCGAACUGGUGAGUAACACGUAGGUUAUCUACCCUCAAGACGGGGACAACCCAGGGAAACUUGGGCUAAUACCGGAUGUGAGCAACUUUUAGUUGUUUGAAAGGUGGCGUAAGCUGUCGCUUGGGGAUGAGCCUGCGUCCUAUUAGUUAGUUGGUGAGGUAACGGCUCACCUAGGCAAUGAUAGGUAGGCGGCCUUAACGGGUGGUCGCCCACACUGGGAUUGAGAUACGGCCCAGACUCCUACGGGAGCAGCAGUCGAGAAUAGUCUACAAUGGUCGGAAGACUGAUAGUGCGACGCCGCGUGAACGAUGAAUCCCUUCGGGGUGUAAAGUUCUUUUAUAUGUGAGCAGUGCUUCUUAUAUUAACAGUAUGGGGAGAGAGAUAUUAGCAUAUGAAUAAGCAACGGCUAACUCCGUGCCAGCAGCCGACGGU
rnacentral:rRNA from 1 species